rnacentral:lncRNA from 1 species
AAGAGAACGGAUGUACCAAUUGCAUACUAUUCAGUUUGAAUUGAGUUUGACAGUUUCAAAAAUAAAAUGGGGGAAGACAAUGGAAUAGUUGUAGCACUUGGUUUUUGGCUCAAUUAAUCCAAGUUGGUUUGACUUUGGCUCGUCAAUUUUUAUCACAACUUCCAUAUGGUUGCUAUAGUUUGAAUCUAUUUAAAGGUUAUUGUAGUGAAAAGUUUUCUCAUAAAUGACAUUUGAAUGUGCCUUGUCCAAUAUUACUGUCUCCGUAGCAAGGAACGGUUGUAAUAGUUUAAAAAUAUAUAAUCAAUAUGAGGUGGAGAUUGAAAAAGUUCCAAUUAAUAUGAGUUAGAGAUUUAAAAAGUUUGAAUUAAUAUGAGUUAAAUGUAAAAUUACAUUUAAUAAUAUUUUUUUUGCUAAAUAAAUUACUAUAAUUUUCA